GGCCUAGGAUUGCCCGCCUUCGGGUGGUCUUUUCUAGGUCUGGAUAUCGUAUAAACUUGGUAAUUCUUAGGCUAAUACGAUAAGUUUACCACCUAGCCUACCGGGCAACCGGGAACGUUAGGGGUCGUGCAAAGCUUCUGCUACGCUCGAUUGGGUGAUUCCGUACACGAUCAGACCGCUACACCAAACUCAGGUGGCUCAGCCAGUACCUUCGGGGAACGCUGUGUCAUUUGGGGGCGGCUCUCGCUCGUGCCUCUGACCUAUCAACUGCACAGCAGCUUAUAGGACAUGCUAUGGUUACUACGGGUACAGAGGAUAAGGGUUCGAUCCUGGAGAGUGGGCCUGAGAGAUU
rnacentral:rRNA from 1 species